GCGCGAAAACUUUACAAUGCUGGCAACAGCGAUAAGGGAACCUCGAGUGCCAGGUUACAAAUCUGGCUGUCGAGAUGCCUAAAAAGCAUUUCAUAGCAAGGGCCGGGCAAGACCGGUGCCAGCCGCCGCGGUAACACCGGCGGCUCGAGUGGUAACCGUUAUUAUUGGGUCUAAAGGGUCUGUAGCCGGCCGGAUAAGUCUCUUGAGAAAUCUGGCAGCUUAACUGUCAGGCUUUCAGGAGAUACUGUCUGGCUCGAGGCCGGGAGAGGUGAGAGGUACUUCAGGGGUAGGGUGAAAUCGUUGUAAUCCUUGAAGGACCACCAGUGGCGAAGGCGUCUCACCAGAACGGACCUGACGGCAAGGGACGAAAGCUAGGGCACGAACCGGAUUAGAGACCCC
rnacentral:rRNA from 1 species